GUUCCGUAGGUGAACCUGCGGAAGGAUCAUUAAUGUGUUUGGGCCUCCCGGCUCUUCAUUCCGACGCUGUGCGCCUUCGGGCUGCACGCUGAGGGAGCAUAUAUCCACCCCUGUGCACACACACGGUGGCGAGCUGGGUAACGGCUCGCCGCUGAUCUUUACACACGUCUAAAAGUCAUUGUAUGUUUAUUUGAGAUAAAAACACAACUUUCAGCAACGGAUCUCUUGGCUCUC
rnacentral:misc_RNA from 1 species